UGAUGUCAGAUGAAGAAGUCUGAAGAUACCUUGGAUAUCCUGUUGCAGGAUGACCCAAACGAUCAUGCAUUCAGUAUAAACAUGUUAUUGACAUCCCAAUAUUUAGUGGGAAGCUUCCAGGUAUCUUCCACUAGAGACAGUCUACUGGCAAAUCCAGACAUGCAUUGGAAGUAUGUUGAUGUGGAGGACACAGGGACACCUGAUCCAAGAACUGUGGCAUUUCAUUCGGAGUGACAACCUGGCAUGCAGUUGAUAUGGGACCUGAUUAUUCAGAGAAUUGCAGAUUUUAUGAAGCUGUUUUUGACAGAAGAUUUGGUUUUCUCCAUCUGUGUUGCCACCAACCAUUAUGCUGUGAUGGUCAUAUCUAGGGGGAAGGGUUGUCAUAUGCUUCCCAAGGAAGUUCGAAGCCUCUCACUGAAGAGGAACUGUAUAGAUUUUUGGGCAUUAUCUUAUACAUGUCUGCGGAGAAGUUCCAGUCGAUAGACAGAUAUUGGUCAACGCAUGCCCCUAUCGGAACAACCUAGUAUCAAGAAUUAUGUCUAGAAAUAUGUUUUAAGAGGUUGAAUAUAAGAAGAACAAUUUUUAUUAAAUAUAAUGCAAGUACAUUUAAAUUUAGUGAUUGAAAGUAAGUACUUGAACAUUUGUAUACAUGUACAAUGAACUUGGGGAGGAAAAACGGGCAUUAUUUUCGCAUAGCAUUUGAUAUCAUAAUGGUGUUGUUGCUUAGCAACCAAAUAUAUUUGAAUAUAAAAAAAUUGAUUUUUUUUUAGAUUUUAACAGGAAAGAUCUUUGUUUUAAUGUUGCAAUAUUUAUACUAUUU